rnacentral:lncRNA from 1 species
CGGUUUAGACUUCUUUUGCAGGUCCCGACGGCGACCGUGACUCCUCCGACUCCAGCUUCUCCGGCGCAGGCGGAUUUUUGCACCAACAGGAUUGGUGCUAGAGGAAGGGUUGUGCCUUCGCAGUACUCUUGUUCUUAAAGGAGCACUCAAUAGAACCGCCUCUGGUCAUCUUUUCCGGCGUCCUCUCCUCCUUCCCCCAU